rnacentral:rRNA from 1 species
GAUUAUGGCUCAGAUUGAACGCUGGCGGCGUGCUUAACACAUGCAAGUCGUGCGAGAAAGGGGGCUUCGGUCCCUGAGUAGAGCGGCGCACGGGUGAGUAACGCGUGGAUUAUCUACCAGAUAUCGGGAUAACGGCGGGAAACUGCCGCUAAUACCGGAUACGCUCCAAUUUCGGUUGGGGGAAAGGCGGCCUCUGCUUGCAAGCUGUCGUAUCUGGAUGAGUCCGCGUCCCAUUAGCUUGUUGGCGGGGUAACGGCCCACCAAGGCUACGAUGGGUAGCUGGUCUGAGAGGAUGAUCAGCCACACUGGAACUGAAACACGGUCCAGACUCCUACGGGAGGCAGCAGUGGGGAAUAUUGCGCAAUGGGGGAAACCCUGACGCAGCGACGCCGUGUGAGGGAAGAAGGCUUUCGGGUCGUAAACCUCUGUCGGGAGGGAAGAACCUUCCAGGUCUGAACAAGGCCUGGAACUGACGGUACCUCCAAAGGAAGCACCGGCUAACUCCGUGCCAGCAGCUGC